AGUGUGCAGUCACAUUUUCAGGAAUAAAAAGAAAAUUUUGAAUUAGACGGCAGCUGCUGGGGCUCCCGCCGACCUCACUCUCAACACUUUUUACUGUCUACUGAUUGGCCGGAUUAUUCCGCCGGCGACGGCGCCGCAGAAUUUUGUCAGAGUUACGGAUUGCUGGCAGUGGAUUUUGCGUAAUAAUGCUGCACGAGUUGCUGUUGGCACUCCUGGGUUACACCGGAGAUCUCAUAAUUGACGAGAGAGAGCACCAAGAAACCCUGCGGGUUAACUUAUCCCCCGGCGCUCCGCUUGCCGAUGAGCCGACGUUCAAGCUCGCUCCCGAUAUUUCCUUCCUUCAACCCAGCGAUAGGGUAGUUAUCGAGAGAGUAAUUACUCUAGGGUUUUACUACAGGGAGCUUGAGCGUUUCGCUGCUAAAUCUCGAAACUUAAGUUGGAUUAGAUCUUCAAAUGAGUUUCCCUUGUCAAGGGUGACAGAUACACUGAAAGGGAAGAAGGUGAAACCUAGCGUUUAUAGGAGGGCACUAGCGAAUGGAAUUGUUGAGGUUUUGUCUCUUUACAGAUCUUCUGUUUUGCAUAUUGAGCAGAAAUUGUUGUCUGAUUCGCUGCCCAUUUUGGCAACUGUGACACAAGGACUUAAUAAGUUUUUUGUUUUGUUGCCGCCUCUUUACGAGCUCAUUUUGGAGAUUGAGCAUGAUAAUAUUUGUGGAGGGAGACUUCUCAACCUUUUACACAAGCGAUGCCAUUGUGGGGUUCCUGAAUUGCAGACAUGCAUUCAGCGGCUUUUAUGGCAUGGGCACCAGGUCAUGUACAAUCAACUUGCGUCAUGGAUGGUUUAUGGUAUCCUUCAUGACCAGUAUGGAGAAUUUUUUGUUAGAAGGCAAGAGGAAGAGGAUAGGGAUUCUGAACAUGAUUCACCUGCAAAUGUGCUCGAGAAGUUGGCUAACAUGUCCACCAAUGAUGUAGCUCUAACUGAUUGGCAUCUCGGCUUUCAUAUUUCCCUGGAUAUGCUUCCUGAUUACAUCCCAAUGCACAUAGCUGAAUCUAUUCUAUUUGCCGGUAAAGCCAUCAGAGUUCUUCGAAAACCAAGUCAUGGUAUCCAAUUCCAGGGUGCACCACCUUAUCAGCAGAUACAAAAAGGAUCACAGAAGGCUCAAGGAUUUUCAGGAAGGCUCUCUCUGCAGAAGGACACUUCUGUUGAAACCUUGUUGACGGGGGAAGAGUUGCUUCCACAAUCUGAGGCUGAUAAAAUUGAGGCUAUGCUUCAAGACUUGAAGGAGUCAUCUGAGUUCCAUAAGAGAUCAUUUGAAACCGCGGUCGACUCUAUCAAAGCAAUUGCAGCAAAUCAUCUUUGGCAGCUCGUUGUUGUUCGUGCUGACUUGAACGGCCACUUGAAAGCUCUUAAAGAUUAUUUCCUUUUAGCAAAAGGUGAUUUUUUCCAGAGUUUUCUUGAGGAGAGUCGCCAGCUGAUGCGUUUACCACCUCGUCAAUCAACUGCAGAAGCUGAUCUUAUGAUUCCUUUUCAACUGGCUGCAAUAAAGACUAUUGGUGAUGAAGACAAAUACUUUUCCAGAGUGUCUUUGCGGAUGCCAGGAAUCACAGUCAAAUCCUCCCGUGUCGAGUUGCCAAAAGCAAAAGCCCAUUCUGAUGGAGACUCUGGUGUUCAAUCAGAUACUUUUGCAGAGAUGUCAAUUGAUGGCUGGGAUAGCAUUGCCCUUGAAUAUUCUGUUGACUGGCCCUUACAUUUGUUCUUUACGCAGGAAGUGCUCUCUAAGUAUCUUAAGAUCUUUCAGUACUUGCUUCGGCUAAAGCGGACUCAGAUGGAACUGGAGAAGUCAUGGGCUUCUGCGAUGCAUCAAGAUCAUUCUGAUUUUGCCAAACGUCGCAAUGAUGGUAUGAACAGUUCAAUAUCUCAACAAAGACGGCAGCGUUUUAGGCCAUUGUGGCGGGUUAGAGAACACAUGGCCUUCCUGAUCAGAAAUCUUCAAUUCUAUAUUCAGGUGGAUGUAAUAGAAUCUCAGUGGAAUGUUUUGCAAGCUCAUAUUCAAAAUUCUCAUGAUUUUACAGAACUGGUGGGCUUCCACCAAGAGUAUUUAUCUGCAUUAAUUUCACAGUCUUUCUUGGAUAUUGGUUCUGUUUCUCGCAUUCUGGAUGGCAUAAUGAAACUUUGUUUGCAAUUUUGCUGGAAGAUUGAGAGCCAAGAAAUCAAAGAAAGUACUGCUGAACUGGAGCACAUAGCUGAGGAAUUUAAUAAGAAGUCAAAUUCAUUAUACACUAUACUCCGCAGUAGCAGGAUUGCUGGGAGUCAGCGAGCUCCAUUUCUUAGGCGCUUCCUUCUGCAACUCAACUUUAAUUCCUUCUUUGAGGCAACUGCUAGAGGGGUGCUAAAUGUUGUAAGACCUCGACCAGCACUUGCUUUGCAAUGAUUUAGGCAUUUAUUCAUUCUCACAGCCCUUGCAGUUGACGUCAACCAGCCUCCUGUUCCGCCCGGUCCUGAAUUACCCUUUGAGGAGCCAUCCGUGUCCAGCUUUAUCCAUCCAUCCAAUGUAUAGCGGUUUCCAUUUGACCAUUUUGAUGCGUCAUUGGCGAACUGCUGAGGUAGAUGGUGAUAGGAAAUGGUAUUCGGCAGCUUUGGCAAUGAUUGUGAUGCUUCAUCAGGUGUUGUCAGCUGCCUGUUCUGUGCUUGGUAUUCAUCUGGUUGAUCGCAUAGAAAGCAUGGAGAUCAAUCCUCAUUCAUACAGAUACUUCAUCAGACAGCAGAGUUAAUUAGAAUUACCAGUCGCCAUUUCCUCGGGUGAUGUAAAUCUGGUUGACUGUAGAUUCCUCCCUCAUUCUGUUGGAUGUUCCCUCAGGUAGCAUUAGCAUUAUGAGAGUAAGGUGAUAUUGUUGUGUGGUCUACAGGUGAAAUCAUGGUCAGUUCCAUGAUUCCAUCCCUUUAUCCUAGCUUAGAUGAUCUUAUGGCAUCUCAUCUGACACCAAAUGUAAUGGUUAAUUUGGGUAUUACUCUUGGAAUUGUGGUUGGUAACCUUUUCUUUGAUCUACAUCAUCUGGUCGGCCAAACUGAAAGUGUGUAGAUUUUUUCCUCGAUGCUUCCUGAUACACUGGAGAGCAACUGAUGGAAGGCUUUGGAUGGCCACUAAUGUAGGGUUUGUCCCAACAACUGAUGCGCUGUGUCUUAAGUUACUCAUUGGUUGCAUCAGGCUUCUGGGUUUGUUCUGUCAAUAUCUAUUUGUAUAUCAAUUACCUUUGUUGUAGUUUCCAGAUGAUUCAUAUUUGUAGAUAAGAGAUGUCCCUUUCACUGUGGAGAGUGAAAACUUUCUUGAUGCCAUUAUUUGAUUUUUGUGCAUGGAUGAUUUUAUAUUCCAUUUAUAGUUAAGGUUUCCA